UCUUUCUUCUUUUUAUUUCCCUCUCCCUCUCUUGGUUCACCUCACGCCGUCGAGACCUCCCCCCAAAUCUUCAUCUUCUUUGUCUGCCGCCCAACCCCUUCACGCUGCUUGCUGCCCUUCGCUGCUGUCGCCAAUCGUCAAACCCAUGCCGUCAGUUUCGUCAACGACAUCUUCCAUCACAUAAAGGGACGCCCUCAGUUCCAUCGUCGUCAGUUUCUUCGUCGCGUCCCUCCAACAUUUGCACCCGACGGUCGUCCGAUGCCUUCUUCACUGGUUAAAUCAGCGCCACAUGUAAGUCUGUCGAGCUGCCUUCAGUCAGUUCCACCACCAAGUUUGUUCACGUCAGUCGUCGUUAUUCGUCUCAGACUCGCCAGAUUCGACAUCCAGCCAUCGUUCUGCUUGGUUUCACCAGUUGCCGCCGUCGAGAACUCCACGACCGUGUCCUUUACAAGUGGGAACGGUUGAAUGUGGGUAUUACGUUAUGAGAUAUAUGCGAGAAAUCGUGACUAAAGAGAAGAAUAUUAUAACAUAUGUGGUAUGUCUUUAAACUACUCAUAUAUAUUGUAACAUUAUAGAUAGUGUAAAUAGUAAAUAAAUAUGUAUAUCUCACUUUCUAUGUUUUAUAGAUUGAUACGAGAAACUCGUACUCGCAAUUUGAAUUCGAUGAAGUACAUGCAGAAUGGUCUGAAUAUUUAGGUCACUAUAUCUAAUGGACUUCCUAUAAAUUGUGUAUGUGACUGAUAACUAUAUUUAGGUCACUUUCUAUGUUUUAUAGAUUGAUACGAGAAGCUCUUACUCGCAACUUUUUUUGUGUAAAUGUUUUGUUCAACCAUUAUAGGUUAUAUACUUCAAAGAAAUGUGUAGUGGAGGAUAGAAUUUUAGUCUUGUGAUUUUUGGAAUACAUAGCACAUAUAGAUUGGUCUUACAAUUUUGGAAUUAUCAUAUAUUGGGGUGGGUUGAUAGAGUAUAUACUGUUGUAUGAUUCAUCUUGUAAAUUUUGGAAUCGUUCAUAUAAACAUGAGUAAUAGAAUGAAAUUGUUUAUUUUAGUAUUCUCAAUUGUUACGUUGGAUAUAUUGGGCUGAUAUGUAGACCUGAAAUAUAUGUGCAACUGUUUAGUUGAUGAAAUUGUCUUAUUUGAACAAAUGUAAUGCAGGAAAUGAGAAAUGGAAAUUAAAUUUGAAUGUUUAAUUUGGAAAAAAAAAGCAUAGAUGACAUUGGAAAUGUGUCAAGAAUUAGAUUACUUAACCAUUAUUCCAUGUCAAGAUAAAAAUAUAUUUGACAAAUAAAAAAAUGUCAAGAGUAAUCACAAUAAUAAGUGUCAAGAAUUAAUACACUUGACAUGUCAUUAGUGUCAAGUGUAUUAUAUUUCUUAACACGGAAAUUGUGUCAAGAAUUAUUUCUCUUGAUGUUUUUACAAUAUCAAGUUAUGACAUUAUACUUGGCAAUUGAAUAGACGACGCUUUUAUUAGCGUCAAGUAUACCCUCUACUUGACAUUGGAAAAACGUCAAAUAAUCCAAUUUCUAUAAUAGUGGGUGUAUAUUAUUGAUGUUACGAUGUUAGUUGGUUGAUAAUAUUUUCUUUUAUUAUGAUGGAUAUUUUGUCUUUGACUUGGCGUUGAUAUUCUUUCUUUAUUGGUGGCAAAUUUUUUUGACUGAUCUUUUCCUUUUUUGUGCUGUUGUUGACGAUAUUUUUCUUGCCUCAGGAGGAUUGUAUUUAAUUUGUCUCAUAUGUGGUUUUAGGGCAAGUUGUAUUUUUUGUCUAAAGGGUCGAUCGAUUGAAAGACAGAGAAUCUCUUGUGUUCUAUGUGGCUACUUAUUCAUUGUGAUAUUCAAAAGUCGUGCGGUAAUUUUGAAGCUUGGUCUAUCCAAAUAGAUUCUUCAUAGUGUUGUGGUAAGGUGCUGGUUGAGUGUUCUUUCAACUAGCAAGUGAAAAGGGGAUGAAGUCAUUGUUGCGGCAUCAAAAUCAGGGGAGCCUAAAUUUGCAGACUCAUUAGAAGCAGUAUAAGUGUAAGAAGGAGCCUAACUUAGGUGGUAAACGAUAUACUUAUGUCUAUGUUGAUGAUUUCUUCCAGUACACGUGGGUACGUUUUAUCAUAGAAAAGUCAGCUACUUUUCAAGUUUGUUAAACUUUAUGUAUUCAGCUUUAGAGAGAACAAGAGGUACAAAUUGUGAGGAUUAGGAUUGAUCAUGGUAAAGAGUUUGAAAACUCUCAAUUUGAACCCUUUUGUAAUUCAAAGGGUAUUCAACAUGAGUUUUCCUCUCCUAUAACUCCUAAACCGAAUGGUGUGGUUGAAAGGAAGAAUUACACUCUUUAGGAAAUAGCAAGGACAAUGUUGCAUGCAAAACGUGUGCCUUUGCACUUUUGGGCAAAAGCCCUCAAUACAGCUUGUCACAUCCACAACUGAAUUUCUAUUUGAAAUUGCUCUCUGAGCACAAACUAUGAAAUCUGGAAAGACCAUAAGCCAAAUAUUAAGUA